rnacentral:lncRNA from 1 species
UGGAUAAAAUUGCUCUAAUUAUGUUCCAUAUUUUUUGAAUAAAAGUGCUCUAAUUAUGUUCCAUAUCAUCUUACAGUCGCAUUGUCUACUUCAAUCACCACUGCGACCGCCAAUUUCUGAAUACUUUCAUUUUGAGACUCAUCAAUCAGGUUUUAUCACUCUUUACUUGUUAUUAUGUCUACGAGAAAAUUUGAAUCUGGAUGUGCCAAAAGAAAAAGGAAGGAAAAGAUUGAAAAGUUGAUUAAAUCUCAAGAGGGAGCACUUGAUAAGUUUUUUGGUAGUAGUAAAUGAACACACAACGAUGACAUAGCUGCUGAAGAAGUGUUAAAUGAGAAUGACAACAAUAAUAAUACAAUUGAAGAAGGACAUUGUGUGAUGAAUGAAGAGGUAUCUACUGACAAAGAUAAUGAACCAUUUUCUCUUGACCUUGUUGA